AGAGCCGGUUCAAUGCCCCUCGGGUUGGAUUGUUAUUUCCUAUAAAUGCUAUUUCUUUUCCAAAGAGAAAAAAACUAAAAAUGAAAGUGAUCGAUUCUGUGUGAAUCAUGGAGCAAAACUAGCGACUGUCAAAGGAAAUGAUCACCUGUUACGGGUAUAAUUAAUUGUUAUUUUACCAAAUAAAAUGUUUUGUUAGUAAUAGAGUUGACCGAACCAGAACUGUUAAGUUUUGACCCCGAACCCGGACAUUUCAGUAACCGUUCGUGUUCGAGUUCGGUGUUCGGCGAUUUAAUGGUGCGUUUUGAAAAGGGGGGAGGACCUAUUGUCCUCCCCCACGGCCCCCACCCCUGAGCAGCGGGUGGGGGCCCUAAGUACCAAUAAGGGGGGGACCUAUUGUCCUCCCCCUGGCCCCAACCCCUGAGCAGCGGGGUUGUCUUCCCCCCUGGCCACCACCCCUGAGAGGUGGGUGGGGGCCCUAAAUUAGAAUAAGAGGGGGACCUAAUGUCCUCCCCCCUGUCCCCCACCCCUGAGUGGUGGGUGGGGGCCCUAAAUAAAAAUUGGGGGGUGGAUUUCAAGCCAACCAAUCAGAGUGCUGUGACAGGUAGCACUCUAAUUUAGAGCCCCCACCCACGGCUCAGGGGUGGGGGGUCAGGGGGAGGACAUUAGGUCCCCCCCAUUGGUAUUUAGGGCCCCCACCCACCGCUCAGGGAUGGGGGCCAGGGGGGAGGACAUUAGGUCCCCAUCCCAAUUUUUAUUUAGGUCCCCCACCCACCGCUCAAGGGUGGGGACCGGGUGGGGGACAAUAGGUCCCCCCCCCUUAUUUUACUUUAGGGCCCCACCUGCCAUUUUUUUUUUUUUUUACGGUGAGCAGCCAUAGGCAUAUACCUACGGUAUAGCGAGUAGGGACAUGAUUUACUAAUACUAAGUAAUCUUUACAUAGUAUUAGUAAAUUUGGCUGAAAGAACAAUUUAGGUAUUUCAGCCUUUUAGUAGAUAGUUCCCUAAUACCGUGGGAAUUAGGGAGUUAUCUACUUAUUGAUGCUGUCAUUACACUGACUGGCCAAGUAACUUACAUUUUAUAUGAAUGUAUGUUACUUGAUUGUUGUAAGUGUUGCAAAUGCUUACAGCUGAAUCCUGGCUAUGUUUGUAUACUUUUUAUUUAAAAUUGUAUACAAUGUAACAUUCUUCUUCUUUCACUGGGUAAGUAUAUUAGUACUUGGGUAAUACAUUUUACUUCCCUUUUGCAGCCCUCUAGCCCUUUCAGGACUUUUUUAGAACCCUUUUAGUGCCCAAAAGUUCGGGUCCCCAUUGAUUUCAAUGGUAUUUGGGUUCAGGGUCAAGUCCCAGUCCCGAACUCGAACUUUUUGCGGAAGUUUGGCCGAACCUGGCGAACCCGAACAUCCAGGUGUCCGCUCAUCUCUAGUUAGUAAUAAUGUGUGUAUUAAAUCUCUUAAUCUUUAGUGAAUAGAUACUUUGUAAUCCCAUAGCGGCAGGAAGUGAGGGUCACUGGAUUGGAAUAUUUAUUUAUUUAUUUAUUUUUUUUGUAAAUGUUUUCAAGAGUUAUCAAAAAGUUUCAAAAACGAGAACUGAAUAGCAUUAUUUAUCUAAAUCAUAGCAAAAACCAACAUCAACAUAGAGUGAUAAGGGGAGAGAUUAGCCUAAUAAUACAACAAACAACCUACAUUACAAAUGACAGGGGGCUUUAAAAAUACUAAUAUACUAAAAUGUAGAAAAAAUAAUGUUUUUACAAUUGUUUUCCAGAACAGUUCUUAUUAUAAGGGGUCAAUGAAUCAAUUCUAUUAAAGUAUACCACGGUAGAAAAUCAGGAAUGAAAAUAAAAGUUGAUACUUUAAAAAGAGAGUUCAGAGAAGGGCUACUAAACUGGUUCAUGAAUUGCAGGAUAAAACUUACCAGGAAAGGUUAAAGGAUCUUAACAUGUAUAGCUUGGAGGAAAGACGAGACAGGGGGAUAGGAUAGAAACAUUUAAAUAUAUGAAGGGAAUCAACACAGUAAAGGAGGAGACUAUAUUUAAAAGAAGAAAAACUACCACAACAAGAGGACAUAGUCUUAAAUUAGAGGGACAAAGGUUUACUGAGAGGGUAGUGGAUGCAUGGAAUAGCCUUCCAGCUGAAGUGGUAGAGGUUAACACAGUAAAGGAGUUUAAGCAUGCGUGGGAUAGGCAUAAGGCUAUCCUAACUAUAAGAUAAGGCCAGGGACUAAUGAAAGUAUUUAGAAAAUUGGGCAGACUAGAUGGGCCGAAUGGUUCUUAUCUGCCAUCAGAUUCUAUGUUUCUAAGUUAGUAAUUGGCAGUUUUAGAAGGAUCCUGUAGUGAAGCGUGCUGUAGUGGUUAAGGUGCCAGGAGUCAACUUGUCCUAUCUCACUAUAAGCUGUCAGUCACUUGUGUGUUGCAGUAAUCUGCUAAUAUAGAGCAGUAUUUUGAUUGACAAGUCCCGUGAGAGCUUCACAUUCUGUUAUUAUUCUGGUCGGAGUUACAGCACCGAGGUAAGUACCAUUGUUUAUUUAUUUCCAUAUUCAUUACUUUAAUGAGUAAAUAUCUGUUUUUAGAGCUCUUUCCUUUAUCAUUUUCUUCCAAAAUUUAAUUUUUUUUUUUAGAUAACAAUGUUUUUUUGUUUGUUUCUUUUUCAGUCAUUUAUUUCAAGAACACCUUCAGUAUAUUGGGUCGGAUUGACUUUGAAACAUGAUGAAUAUUCUAAAUCCAAGAUGUGGGUUUGGUCUGAUGGUACACUUGAGUAUGUUUCUAAUUAAUUUAUUUGCACAAUAUCUUCACAUUAGCAGUAGCAAACCAUGGCUCAUACUCACCCAAAAACUGAGAAAAACAAGAUUUGAUGUUUCAUGAUGAAGUUUCUGAUCUGAUAUGGCUCUUCUGGAUUUUGAAUUUUAAAGAGACGUAGAAACAUAGAAUGUGAUGGCAGAUAAGAACCAUUCGGCCCAUCUAGUCUGCCCAAUUUUCUAAAUACUUUAAUUAGUCCCUUGUCUUAUCUUAUAGUUAGGAUAGCCUUAUGCCUAUCCCACGCAUGCUUAAACUCCUUUACUGUGUUAACCUCUACCACUUCAGCUGGAAGGCUAUUCCAUGCAUCCACUACCCUCUCAGUAAAGUAAUACUUCCUGAUAUUAUUUUUAAACCUUUGUCCCUCUAAAACAUACACAGUUUCACAAAUACAUGAGGGAAAUACAGGCAGUCACAUAAACACGGAAGGGCAACGGUCCCGCCACAACACACACUACAUCCCUUACACAAACAUCCACACAUCACAUCCAGUAUACACACACACUACAUCCAUACACACACACCCUCUCCGUUGCUUAUGCACUCAAUCCUUGUGCUUGGACACAGGAGCAGGCACAAUUCUUGAGUUACGUAAGGGGCCCCAAACUUUCUGAUGGCAGCCCUGCACAUACAAUACAUAUUACACCAAUCUUAUAACUGCCAGGAAAAGUAAGGCUUAACCUUUAUUAAAGCACCAUGAUUCUCCAUAAACACAUACAUCAUGGAGGCAUUCAUGGAGCCAACAUAGCGACCAGUGGCGUACAUACCAGGGUCGCAGGGGUCGCAGCUGCGACCGGGCCCGGCCCACCAGGGGGCCCGGUCGCCCCUGCAACCCGGUAUGUACCCACAGGGCCAGCCUCUUCCCCUGGGGGCCCAGGAGGCGGCCACCUCAGGGCCCCCCCGAGGCUGGCCCUGCUGACCCCGGCGGGCUGUCUGUCUGGGUGGCCGGCACGCAAGGGAGCACUCUCUUCUGAGUGCUUCCUCUUCAGCUCCCUCGCGCACCGCACUGAUACCGGAGCUGGAAGAUGACGUCCUCUUCCGGCGCCGGCAUCCCUAUGCGGCGCAAGAGGAAGCUGAAGAGGAAGUACUCAGGGGAGAGUGCUCCCUCGCGCGCCGGCCACCCAGACAGACAGCCAGCCAGCCAGCCGAGCAGUACCACUGGACCCCAAGUGUUUUUGUGUUAGUGUGUGUGUGUGUGUGUGUGUGUUAGUGUGUGUUAAGACACCCCUUGUGUCUUUAAACGAAACCGCCGUUUAGUCCGCCUUCCCCUGCUGCAAUACAAAUAAUCCCCAUUCGCAUAAACUGCAGUGUACGAACCAAACUCGGGGGAAGCGGCAAUCUCCCGACCGGGAUCAGUGAAAGGCUCCAACCUCCCGAACGGAACUCCACGAACAGCUGCUAGCCGCCGAACAAUAAUAUCCACCAAGCGGCUUUCGGUUCCAUCCAGCAGUCUCUAAACGCAAAGAUGAAAUCCCCCCAAUAACAAGACAGAAGCUCCGCAUUGAGGGUCAAACAGGAUCUGGCUUUACUGUGGGCUACCUGCCCGUAUUUAUGCAGGUUUCCCACUUGGUGGACACUCCCCUAGGGGAACAAAUGAGAGACUUAAAUGACAGAUAUGGGGACAUUCCAGACACACAGUCACAGUUUUUACCCACAAUGCACUAUGGUUUCCUCCCCUCUGCCCUGGAGAUAAUUACCAAGUAACUCAAUUAUCUCCAGGACAAAGCCAGUCGCCAUUUUAAAUAUAAAAUCAGAAAAGACAUAAAAAUACAUAAUUUUACAAUAACCGAACAUUCUGCAUUCGUGUCACAUAUCCCCAGAUAGCCUGGAUCUGAGUGCAUAUUAUUAGCGAAUAGCGCUCAGAUCCCACACAGAUAGUUCAAUCGCCAUGGAGUCAAAGUUCUUACAGUCUUUCGUGAUACGAAUGACUCCAUGGGAAGGCUAUCUGGGUUAAAUCCUUUCGUAUGCUUCAAACCUCCCAAACGGCCGGUAUUCGUAUGCUUUUGUGGAGGCAGCCAGGCGUUCCGUUGUUUCAGCGGUGUUCGGCAGAAAACCGUCCGUCCGUCCAUUUUUAGUUCCAUGAAAUUAGAGCCGAACACCGCUGGGCUUUCGCGUGGUUUAAAAUGGCCACUGCCUCGUGGUCGACAUACGAACGACGACCACCCUGAAUUCGUUUAAUUGAGAAGUGUCUGCGGUUAACCACAACGUUCUAAUUGGGAUUAAUAGGUUAACCAGCAGCACACUUCUCUCCUUGGUGGCCGUCCGUUCGGCAGGUUUGUUCGGAAAAACAGUCAUUCGUAUGGCUGGGCUAUAGAAAACAGCCAUUUACACGAACAGGAUAGAAACAGACGAAUACACCUGCAAUAACCAGACAGAUGGUUCUGUCACAGUGUGUUUGUGUUAGUGUGUGUGUCAGUGAGUGUGUCUGUUAUUGGGUGUGUGUCUGCUAGUGAGUGUGUUACUGUGUGUGUCUGUUACUGAGUGUGUGUUUGUCAGUGAAAGUGUGUGUUUUGUAAGUGAGUGUGUAUGUCUGUCUGUCGCUGAGUGUGUCUCUGUCAGUAAAUGUGUGUGUCUGUUAGCUAGUGUGUAUGCGUCUGUUCGUGAGAGUGUGUGUGUCUUCAGCAUUUACCUUUCUCCAGCGUUGGACUCCCUUGGCACUGGGGAUCCCUCCGCCUCUCAGCUCCGAAUGCACAUGCGCGGCAAGAGGCGAGCGCGCAUUUAAACCGCCCGUAGGAAAGCAUUACUCAGUGCUUUCCUAUGGACGUUCAGUGUCUUCUCACUGUGAUUUUCACAGUGAGAAUCGCGGAAGCUCCUCUUGCAGCUGUCAAUGAGACAGCCACCAGAGGCUGGAUUAACCCUCAGUGAAACAUAGCCGUUUCUCUGAAACUGCUAUGUUUUCAACUGCACGGUUAAAACUAGAGGGACCUGGCACCCAGACCACUUCAUUGAGCUGAUGUGAUGUGGGUGUCUGUAUUGGUCCUUUAAGUGUGUGUGCAUACCGCGGUCGCGGGGUCGCAGCCCUGCAACCCCUGCGACCAGGUGCCCGCCGCCAUGUGUUGCGGCCCCGACCCAUGCCGAGUAAGCGCGGGGGGGCCACGGAUCAAUUUUCGCACCGGGGCCCCAUGGGUCAUGUGUACGCCACUGAUAGCGACACUCCCUGUACCUGUGGAGAGUUAGAAAUGCAUUGAAACAGUCUGUGUGUCGUGAGACAACUUCAUCAAUGACUGACAGAAAAGUCAGGUAGAUUGAUAGACACUCAGAGACAGGUUGUUAGUCUAUAUUAAUCAGCCUGCACCCGGUGUUUCUCUAGCUAAUGAAACAAAGAGAAUAAUCUGUGGCAUUAACUCUGGAUAGGUUAAUCUGAUGGCUGUUUUUAUAAAAAAGGUGACACGAUUUCAUUUUCUGUAUUUUCAGGAAUUCCGAGGAUUUCAGUUCCUCUGAUCAAUGCACUACAGCAAAUCCCAGUAUCGGAUUCAGCCAUUGUGAACAUGAGCUUCACUGGAUCUGUGAAAAUAUGAUUAAAAUGUCUAAUUUAAAGGAAAAAAUAAGGAAUUGUUAAAGCAAAACAAAG